AGAAGCGCCAGCACCCGCCCCAGGGCGGGAUGACGAGGAGAGGGGAGUAUCGAAGAUUCGGCGGAUGCCCCUCCGCCCAUCCGGGUGCGUACCCGGCCUACAAAGACACGGGUGACCGUGCAACAAAAG
rnacentral:ncRNA from 1 species